rnacentral:rRNA from 1 species
GCUGGAAUUGCUAGUAAUGGCAGGUCAGCAUACUGCCGUGAAUACGUUCCCGGGCCUUGUACACACCGCCCGUCACACCAUGAGAGUUGGGAAUACCCGAAGCCUGUGAGCUAACGUUAAGAGGCAGCAGUCGAAGGUAGAAUCAAUGAUUGGGGUGAAGUCGUAACAAGGUAAC